UGGUUUUGAGCCUGGAUUUGGGUUUAGAGGGGUCGAGAGGGCCAAACCAGGGAUUUCUUGUUUUUUGGCCACUGCAAGUGGCGGUGCCGGUGCCGGAGAUCAGCGGCCAGCGCGGUGGUCGGUGAUCGUCCGAUGACCGGAAGACAGAGGGGUUGAGAGAGAGUUUUAAAGGUUUUUUUUGUUUUUUUUUGAACUGGUUUUAAAAUGAAUUUUUUUUUGAAGGAAAGAGGCUUAUAUACGACACCUAAACGGUGCCGUUUUUGAAAGCCUCCAGACGCACAAAACGACGUCAUUUUGAGGCGUCCGACCCAAAUUCGACCCGACCCAGCUUUAGGGUCCGCGUGUUUUAUAUGGAGGGGCUUUAAUUUAUUUAAACUCCAAUUCGAUCCUGAUU
rnacentral:lncRNA from 1 species